rnacentral:rRNA from 1 species
CGGAAGGAGUGGCGAACGGGUGAGUAACACGUAGAUAAUCUGCCCUGAGGUGGGGGAUAACCAGAGGAAACUCUGGCUAAUACCGCGUGUGGCCCACGGGUCAAAGGCUUCGGCCGCCUCGGGAUGAGUCUGCGUCCCAUUAUUUAAUCCUGGUUGGUGGGGGUAAUGGCCUACCAAGGGUACGAUGGGUAGCUGGUCUGAGAGGAUGAUCAGCCACACUGGGACUGAGACACGGCCCAG